rnacentral:rRNA from 1 species
GAUGAACGCUGGCGGCGUGCCUAAUACAUGCAAGUCGAGCGAACAGAUAAGGAGCUUGCUCCUUUGACGUUAGCGGCGGACGGGUGAGUAACACGUGGGUAACCUACCUAUAAGACUGGGAUAACUUCGGGAAACCGGAGCUAAUACCGGAUAAUAUUUCGAACCGCAUGGUUCGAUAGUGAAAGAUGGUUUUGCUAUCACUUAUAGAUGGACCCGCGCCGUAUUAGCUAGUUGGUAAGGUAACGGCUUACCAAGGCGACGAUACGUAGCCGACCUGAGAGGGUGAUCGGCCACACUGGAACUGAGACACGGUCCAUACUCCUACGGGAGGCAGCAGUAGGGAAUCUUCCGCAAUGGGCGAAAGCCUGACGGAGCAACGCCGCGUGAGUGAUGAAGGUCUUCGGAUCGUAAAACUCUGUUAUUAGGGAAGAACAUACGUGUAAGUAACUGUGCACGUCUUGACGGUACCUAAUCAGAAAGCCACGGCUAACUACGUG